rnacentral:rRNA from 1 species
AACGAACGCUGGCGGCGCGCCUAACACAUGCAAGUCGAACGAGAAUCCGGGGCAACCCGGUAGUAAAGUGGCAAACGGGUGAGGAAUACAUGGGUAACCUACCCUUGAGAAGGGAAUAACCCGCCGAAAGGUGAGCUAAUACCCUAUACGCUAUCUUUUUUUCGAAUAGGAUAGGAAAGCCGGGUCGAGGACCUGGUACUCAAGGAGGGGCUCAUGUCCUAUCAGCUUGUUGGUGGGGUAACGGCCUACCAAGGCUACGACGGGUAGCUGGUCUGAGAGGAUGAUCAGCCACACUGGCACUGAGAUACGGGCCAGACUCCUACGGGAGGCAGCAGUGAGGAAUAUUGCGCAAUGGGCGAAAGCCUGACGCAGCGACGCCGCGUGGGGGAUGAAGGUUUUCGGAUUGUAAACCCUUUCAUGAGGAAAGAUAAAGUGGGUAACCACUUAGACGGUACCUCAAGAAGAAGCCACGGCUAACUUCGUG